rnacentral:lncRNA from 7 species
GGCACCGCGCGGCUCCGCUCACCGCUCCGCUUCCCGCAGAGGGGUCCCGGCCCGGAGCAGCUGUCCUGGAGAGCCCGGGGCAGCCCGGGGGCCGCCGUCGCCGCUCUUCUGCAGCUGCUGCGGGAGGAGGAGAACGGUCCCCCGGCGCCCGCGCCUCCUCAGAAGCGGGAUAUGCACGACUUCUUCGUGGGGCUCAUGGGGAAACGGGCGGCGGAACCCGGGAGGGCGGCGGGGGGCGGCGGGGGCGCGGCCCGGGCAGGACACGCUGACCGCGGCCCCUCCGCCCGCUGCUCCCCAGGACCCCCUCCGGACGGCGUUCGGGCUGCCGGUCCCCCCCGCCCCGCGCCGUGAGGAGCGGCUUCGACGGGGCGGACGGGACGCAGCGGAGCCGUCGCGGGAGCCCCGGGGCCGCGCUGAGAGCGGAACGCGCGUGUCCGAACCGCGCUGUACGCGCACCGCACGCAUACAGCACCGCACAGCCCGCAGCCGCGCCCGCCUCUGUGUGUCUGCGCCGGGGUGGGGGGGGGCGAGGGGGGGAGGAGGGGGGGGGGGAAGGGGAGGAGCGCGCCGCUUAUCGCGACCCUCCCCGUAUCGCGACCCGGACCGCCCCGCGUUCCCCCCCGCAGUUCCCCUCCGGGCCGCUGCGGCGCUGUGGCCCCGUCGGAGCGGGCGGGCGGCGGAAGGCGGCUCCGGUGGCGGCGGGCGCGGGCGCUCGGAGCGGCGGGCGGAGGGCGGAGGGCGGGGCGGCGCCUUUGUGUGAGCGAGCGGGGAUGGUGCGGGGCGCCGGGCGGGUAAGGAGCGGCCGCGGCGGGACGGGACCGACGGCCGCGCCCCCCACGGGCCCCCCCCGGCCCCGACCCCGCGG